UACGUAGGGUGCGAGCGUUAAUCGGAAUCACUGGGCGUAAAGGGUGCGUAGGCGGGUCUUUAAGUCAGGGGUGAAAUCCUGGAGCUCAACUCCAGAACUGCCUUUGAUACUGAGGAUCUUGAGUUCGGGAGAGGUGAGUGGAACUGCGAGUGUAGAGGUGAAAUUCGUAGAUAUUCGCAAGAACACCAGUGGCGAAGGCGGCUCACUGGCCCGAUACUGACGCUGAGGCACGAAAGCGUGGGUAGCAAACAGG
rnacentral:rRNA from 1 species